rnacentral:rRNA from 1 species
AACGAACGCUGGCGGCAUGCCUAACACAUGCAAGUCGAACGAGACCUUCUGGUCUAUUGGUGCACUGGUGCUUAAUGCCUGGGGACCUGCUAUUACGUUCUGAAUCACUCCCCGAAAGGGGUGCUAAUGCCGGAUAAUGUCUUCAUACCAAAGAUUUAUCGCCUUUGGAGGGGGCGGCGUUGGAUUAGCUAGUUUGUAGUGUAAAAGGCUACCUAGGCGACGAUCCUUAGCUGGGCUGGGAGGAUGAUCAGCAACACUGGGACUGAGACACGGCCCAGACUCCUAGGGGAGGAAGAAGUGGGGAAUAAGGGACAAUGGGCGAGAGACUGAUCCAUCAAGGCCGCGUAAGUGAUGAAGGCGGUAGGGAAGUAAAGCUCGUUUACACGGGAUGAUAAUGACAGUACCGGGAGAAUAAGCUCCGGCUAACUACGUG